GCCUUCUUAGCUCAGACGGUUAGAGCGACGGACUGUUAAUCCGCAGGUCCUAGGUUCGAUUCCUAGAGAGGGCG
rnacentral:tRNA from 1 species